rnacentral:lncRNA from 1 species
UGUAGUAUUGUAAUACUGUAUCUUGUCUGUAGUAGAGAUGGGCAGGGCUGUAGUAUACAGCUGUAGUAUUGUAGUACUACAUCUGAUCUAUAGUAGAGACGGGCAGGGCUGUAGUAUUGUAAUACUGUAUUUGGUCUGUAGUCAAGAUGGGCUGGGCUGUAGUAUUGUAGUACUGUAUCUUGUCUGUAGUAGAGAUAGGCUGGGCUGUAGUAUACAGCUGUAGUAUUGUAAUCCUGUGUCUGGUCAGUAGUAGAGAUGGACAGGGCUGUAGUAUUGUAAUACUGUAUCUGGUCUGUAGUAGAGCCUGGCAGGGCUGUAGUAUUGUGAUACUGCAUCUGGUCUGUAAUAGAGAUGGGCUGGGCUGUAGUAUACAGCUGUAGUAUUGUAAUAUUGUAUCUGGUCUGUAGUAGAGAUGGGCAGGGCUGUAGUAUUGUAGUACUGUAUCUGGUCUGUAGUAGAGACGAGCUGGGUUGUAGUAUUGUAAUACUGUAUCUGGUCUGUAGUAGAGAUGGGCAGGGCUGUAGUUUUGUAAUAUUGUAUCUGGUCUGUAAUAGAGAUGGGCUGGGCUGUAGUAUACAACUGUAGUAUUGUAGUACUGUAUCUAGUCUGUAAUAGAGAUGGGCAGGGCUGUAGUAUUGUAAUACUGUAUCUGUUCUGUAGUAAAGAUGAGCAGGGCUGUAGUAUACAGCUGUAGUAUUGUAAUACUGUAUCUGGUCUGUAGUAGAGACGGGCAGGGCUGUAGUAUUGUAAUACUGUAUCUGGUCUGUAAUAGAGACGGCAGGGCUGUAGUAUUGUAAUAGUGUAUCUGGUUUGUUGUAGAGGCGGGCAGGGCUGUAGUUUACAGCUGUAGUAUUGUUGUACUGUAUCUGGGCUGUAGUAUUGUAGUACUGUAUCUGGUCUGUAGUAGAGACGAGCUGGGUUGUAGUAUUGUAAUACUGUAUCUGGUCUGUAGUAGAGAUGGGCAGGGCUGUAGUUUUGUAAUAUUGUAUCUGGUCUGUAAUAGAGAUGGGCUGGGCUG